AAUAGGAUCUGUCGUGGAGCAGCACAUGGUGGACACGUCAAACAAACCUCCGUCAGACACAAGUCACUUUUCAGCCGUUCUAAAGUCUCACUUCAACGCUGGAUGCAAUUUAUCUACAGAUUUUCUCAGGGUCUGCGAUUACGUCAAAUCGACAUGAUAGAUGACACCAUUGCAGGCAGCACAGCAACACUUAGUAAAAUGUCCAAAAAAAUAAGGAGGGUAUGUGUGGCUGCAGUUCAAAGAUUGAGACGUCGUACAGGUCAGCAGAUUGGUGGCCGAAGGGAGUUUGUUGUGAUUGAUGAGAGUCACUUUCGUCACAAACGAAAGUAUGGGAGAGGAAGAAUGGC